GUGGCUGUGGCUCAGUGGGAGAGCCCGUGCUUCACAUACACAAAGGCCCUGGUUCGAUAUCUGCUGUUUCCAGGUAGGGAU